AUCUGAAGCUGUAUCUCCUUAAAUGUGUUUCAUCGCAUCUGACUGGGGAAGCUAAGCAGGGUUGGACUUGGUUGGUACUUGGAUGGGAGACCUAAACAGAUGCUGUUGGCUUAAAAAG
ensembl:rRNA 5S_rRNA 5S ribosomal RNA